AGAGUUUGAUCAUGGCUCAGGAUGAACGUUGGCGGCGUGGAUUAGGCAUGCAAGUCGUGCGAGAACCGUAGCAAUACGGGGACAGCGGCGAAAGGGAGAGUAAUGCAUGGAUAUCUACCCUCGGGUCUGGGAUAGCUACGGGAAACUGUAGGUAAUACCAGAUGACAUCUCCGGAUCAAAGGUGUGAUUCCGCCCGAGGAGGAGUCCAUGUCCUAUUAGCUAGUUGGCGAGGUAAUGGCUCACCAAGGCAAAGAUGGGUAUGGGGUGUGAGAGCACGACCCCACUCACUGGGACUGAGAUACUGCCCAGACACCUACGGGUGGCUGCAGUCGAGAAUCUUCGGCAAUGGGCGCAAGCCUGACCGAGCGACGCCGCGUGCGGGAUGAAGGCCCUCGGGUUGUAAACCGCUGUCGGAGGGAAAGAAGUGCUGGGGGGUUCUCCCUUCAGUUUGACUGACCCUCAGAGGAAGUACGGGCUAAGUUCGUGCCAGCCGCCGCGGUAAUUCA
rnacentral:rRNA from 1 species